ACAAAAAGAUACCUCAGAACACAUAUACGUAGAAUAAACCCUCAAGCUCACCUUUCUGUUACGAAAACUCAUUGUUUGUUGCAGGUGGACAGAUUAGACAUUUCCCUGUCUCCUUUGAGGACAAAAAAAAAAAAAAAAAAAAAAAAAAAAAAAAGCUGUACCUAGCACAGGGCAUUGCCAUCUGUAUGCAUUAGAGUAAGCCAAUUUAAUUCUUAGGAUAAUAGGACUUUCAAAGCUUUCAAAGCUACAGGCAAAAAGAAUAUAUUCCACUUUGUUUUCUUAGAUCCUAGACCUCAUUUUCCUCCCAUCUGAAAUGAUUGCCUUAAUGGUUCCAAGAUCAGGUCAGGAGCCUACAAAAGAUUUUUGUGAGGAUGCUUCACAUCUGGACAUUAGCAAACAGAGUUUCAAGCCACAAGGACACAAUAUUUCACCUUGCCUAAAAGGUGCCCAAGGGAAAAUAAAGGCAGAGAGGACAAGACAAGCAGCAGAAGACGUCUUUCAUUGAUCUAGCAAAACACAAAAUUCAAUUUAUUUAUGAAUGGGAAGUUUUAAAAAAAAAAAAAAAAAAAAAAAAAAAAAAAAAAGAGAGCCUCUCUCUGGAUGAAAUUAGCCCGUGGAACCAUUACAUGACCAUUUAUGUGCUUGUACAAGUGAAAUUAAUGUGGUACAACACACUUUUUUUUCCCCCUUCUGCUUGGCUGAACUGUAUUUUCACAGCAAACAUCAAUUAAGGAAGAAAGAUCAAGCUAAUAAACAGUAUGCAGCAUAUUCUGUGAUUAUUUGU
rnacentral:lncRNA from 1 species